UUUUUUUUUUUUUUUUUUUUUCAAUCUGUUGUCGUGUUUUCUUCGUUCUAUUGCAUCGGUGCAAAAAAUUAUAACAAAUUGCACAAUGAACGAAAUCCAGUUGAAUGACUGAAAAAAACAAAAGCC
rnacentral:ribozyme from 12 species